AGAGGAAAAGGCAGAGGCAGAGGCAGAGGCAGAGGCAGAGGCAGAGGCAGAAGGGAAGGCAGAGGCAGAGGAGCAGAGGCAGAAGCAGAGGUCGAGGUAGAGGCAGAGGCAGAGGCAGAGGCAGAGUCAGGGGCAGAGUCAGAGGCAGAGGUCAGAACCAGAGAGGAAGAGAGGCAGAGAGGGAGAGGGAGAAGCAGAGGCAGAGGGGCAGAGGCAGAGGCAGAGAGGACAAGGCAGAGGCAGAAGCAGAGGCAGAGAGGCAGAGAGGCAGAGGCAGAGGAUUAGAGGCAGAGGCAGAGGUCAAGGCAGAGGCAGAGGCAGAGGCAGAGGCAGAGGGGCAGAGAGGCAGAGAGGCAGAGAGGCAGAGAGGCAGAGAGGCAGAGAGGCAGAGGAGCAGAGGCAGAGGCAGAGGCAGAGGCGAGAACCAGAGAGGAAGAGAGGCAGAGAGGGAGAGGCAGAGAGGCAGAGACAGGCAGAGGCAGAGGCAGAGGAGCAGAGGCAGAGGCAGAGGUUGAGGUAGAGGCAGAGGCAGGGGCAGAGGCAGAGGCAGAGGCAGAGGCAGAGGCAGAGGCAGAGGCAGGGGCAGAGGCAGGGAGGGAGAGGCAGAGGCAGAGAGGCCAAGGCAGAGCCAGAGGCAGAGGGGCAGAAGUAGAGAGGCAGAGAGGCAGAGACAGAGGCAGAGGCAGAGAAGCAGAGGCAGAGGCUGAGAAGCCGAGGCAGAGGCAGAGGGGCAGAAGCAGAGGCAGAGGCAGAGGGGCAGAGAGGCAGAGAGGCAGAGAGGCAGAGAGGCAGAGAGGCAGAGAGGCAGAGGCAGAGGAGCAGAGGCAGAGGAGCAGAGGCAGAGGCAGAGAGGCAGAGAGGCAGAGGCAGAGAGGCAGAGAGGCAGAGGCAGAGAGGG